AUACGUAGGGGGCGAGCGUUGUCCGGAAUGAUUGGGCGUAAAGGGCGCGUAGGCGGCCCGGUAAGUCUGGAGUGAAAGUCCUGUUUUUAAGAUGGGAAUUGCUUUGGAUACUGUCGGGCUUGAGUGCAGGAGAGGUAAGUGGAAUUCCCAGUGUAGCGGUGAAAUGCGUAGAGAUUGGGAGGAACACCAGUGGCGAAGGCGACUUACUGGACUGUAACUGACGCUGAGGCGCGAAAGUGUGGGGAGCAAACAGGAUUAGAUGCCCUGGUAGUCCACACUGUAAACGAUGAAUGCUAGGUGUAGGGGGUAUCGACCCCUUCUGUGCCGCAGUCAACACAAUAAGCAUUCCGCCUGGGGAGUACGGCCGCAAGGUUGAAACUCAAAUGAAUUGACGGGG
rnacentral:rRNA from 1 species